ACGACUUACAAAAACCGUUGGGGUGGAU
rnacentral:sRNA from 1 species